rnacentral:rRNA from 1 species
UCCUACGCGAGACAGCAGUAGGGAAUUUUUCUCAAUGGUAGAAAGUCCUAUGGAACAACGGCGCGUGAGUGAAGAAGGGUUUCCGCUGUAAAACUCUGUUGUUAAAGAAGAACAUAUCUGAGAGUAACUGUUCAGGUAUUGACGGUAUUUAACCAGAAAGCCACGGCUAACUACGUGCCAGCAGCCGCGGUAAUACGUAGGUGGCAAGCGUUGUCCGGAUUUAUUGGGGGUAAAGGGAGCGCAGGCGGUUUUUUAAGUCUGAUGUGAAAGCCUUCGGCUCAACCGAAGAAGUGCAUUGGAAAUUGGGAAACUUGAGUGCAGAAGAGGACAGUGGAACUCCAUGUGUAGCGGUGAAAUGCGUAGAUAUAUGGAAGAACACCAGUGGCGAAGGCGGCUGUCUGGUCUGUAACUGACGCUGAGGCUCGAAAGUAUGGGUAGCAAACAGGAUUAGAUACCCUGGUAGUCCAUACCGUAAACGAUGAAUGCUAAGUGUUGGAGGGUUUCCGCCCUUCAGUGCCGCAGCUAACGCAUUAAGCAUUCC